UGCAAUUUGCGCCAUUGGUCAUCCCUUCGGAAGGUCUUUCCACAGGAAAAAUUUCAAAAAAAUCGCCGAACCCACCUAAGUACCACUUCUUGGUCAAGUUGACGUGGAAUGACCCUGAAACGAAAUUGAAUUUCGACAACGCAUUCGUCCGCCAUAUUGGUUCGAACUAAUUAUUGUGAUCACUGAUCAGGUGAUGAGUUUGAGUUUAAUUUUAUGAUUGUUGAAAAUAUUCCAGGUUCUUAGUGACUUAAAGUACAACCUUACAAACCCUGAAAACAUUCAAAAAUAUUACCCAAGUACCUAUAGAUAGAUCUGCAUAUAAUUGUUGAAGAAUUUCAAAAAUGAACAAAGAAGAUGAUAAAUCGUCAGAUAGAGCUAGCUCAAGCUCAUCAUUAUCCAAAGAUCUUAAUCAGCUUCGGCUUCAAAAGAAAGAAAAAAAGAAAUCCAGACUUGACGAACGUGAUUUGAAGAAUUACAAUAAAUAUCGAGGCUACGCUGAAAUGAUGGCGGCAAGGAAGAAAAUGGACGACAAUGACGACAUAAUUCUGUCAUUGCAAUUUCAGGAAAAAGAUAAUUCCAGAUUUAGCGAACGUGAAUUGAAGAAUUUACGUAAAUACCAAGGCUACGCUCAAAUGAUGGCGGCAAGAAAGAAAAUGAACGAAUACUGACGAAUGUAAAAUGGGUUUUCAUUAGUAGUAUGUAAAUUUAUUCUUUGCAAUUAUGAAUUAGUGUGGUCCCAUCCAAGUUACGAAGUUUUUAAAAAAUGUUAUCAUUAUAAGUGCAUUGUAUUUUUAAUGAGGUGGUCUCACUUUUAGAAUAUUUUCAAUUCUCAUCGCUGCGGAUUUUAUUCAUAUUAUGCUCAAGAAGCUGGUCUCAAUUUUCACAAUUUUUUCGUUUACCACCUUAUCAGAAAAUAAAAAAAGCUAAUUUUA